UUCAACUGGGUUUUAAAUGUUAAUAUUCCCUCGCAGUCUGAUCUCAAAUAGGUAUCAGCUAGCGCGGUCUGCGGUGAGUUAAACAACGCUGCAGGUAGCAUUCAGCGGUGAGUUUACGCUCAAAUGCGGGUAAAACAACAUUCAGAGAGGAGUUUUAUUAAAACAGCGAUCAUCUGCAGGUAAAACAACACUCAGAAGUGACUUUAACAACGCUCCACGGCGCGUGAGAGUAGCAUUUUAAGCGUUUUCUGCUCAUCUAACUGUUAGCUUUGAUUACCAUGCUGGAUGGUAAAUAAUUUUUAUCAGAGGCUCGUUGAUGUUAACAAAUAUAGAUAUAAAUAUACAUUUUACUAUACUGCGAUUGUGUUUGAUUAAUUUAUGUUAUAUAUGAUUAUUAAUUUGUUUAUUUAAAAUCCUGUAAUUUAAUAACUCUGACGUCAUCGAACGUCAUUUUUUUAUCGUAGUUGACCUUUGCAUUGAGUAUGAAAGUUAAGGGGCAGUCUGAUGUCUACUCUACUGCAAAAAACUACUAAGACCAGCAUAAGCUGGUUUUAGCUGGUCUCCCAGCUUAGUUUUAGCUUGUAUUGCUGGUGUAGCAAGCUGUGUUUUGGUCACCUUGACCAGCUGACCCACCAGCUUGUAGGUUUGCCAGGCUGGGAGGACCAGCUUAAACCACCUUAAACCAGCUACCAGCUUAUGCUGGUCUUGGCUGGAUUUUCCGGUAGGGAAUAUAAAAAUUAGCUAACUUAAUUCAAUUAAUUUUGUCGUGUAUAAGUUAAUCCUGCAGCAAGAUACAGGGAAAUGCAAGAUUUUCAGUAGCGAUAUACCUAUAUUACACUAGCUCGCAACUAAGUUAUUAUGUUGACUUGUGUGCGUGCGUGAGUGCGUGUGUGUAUUAUUAGUUAUUUAUUUAUUUUCUGUUUAUGUCCUUCAAAUUUGCAGGCUUCAAACUCUUUAUACCCCCACCACCACAAACAAACCAAAAACAAAGGCACUUUUAAUAGUCACAUGUGUUUUGUUAAACUGUACUUGUCAGUCUCACUGUAGCACUCUCUGUUUACAUUUAUAUUUGUUUUAUCUGUUGUUCUCUUUGUUGUGAGUCUUUCUGUCUGUUUGUGUUUCUGCCCAUCAACAUGUCCAUCCAUUCAGAGCUCCAAUAUCAUCUCAUGAUCUUGGAUAACUUGGUUGAUGGUCAAGAACUGAAGGAUGAGCUCCAAAGUCCUGAUGACUCUCUUGGUGAGCUGCAAGAAGAGGAAGCAGCAGCGCCAGUGAAGACACCUGAGCCGAGGGUGCAUUAGAGAAAAGAGACAUUGAUGGGAAAUAUUGUCUAUGCAAGGUCAAGCAGUAAUCAACCAAGUAAAGCAGAUCACAUUCGGACCACUGAUCCUCCCAAUGUUCUUGACACUCAUUGUGAGGUGGGCUUUGCUCCAGAGACUGUUGGUGUACUUCAGUGUGUUUAAAUGAUCAUUUAUAUCUGUACAUAUACAGAAUAUGACAGUGGGUUAUAAUUGUUUUCUACAAGAUCACUGAACAAUUUCUCAGAGGCAUCACCUCCUGGAACCCCAAGAGAUCCUCUUCUGGCUUCCUCAAACUGGAGCACACGUCAAAGUCUCUUUUCAGAGAGGUGGAGGGCAUAGAGACCCCGUCUGCUGAACACGGCUGUGGCACAAGAAAAUGUUUGUGGGAGAAGUCCAGCUGUUAUCCAGUGUUGUGACUGUCGACCUCGCCCCUUCUUCUGUGCUGAAUGUGACGUCAUCAUGCACACCAGACAUGUCCUCCAUAGCAUAGAUGCCAUGACUGCUGAAUUCUUCCAGCCAUUGCCUUUAACAACUGUUGUGGUGGAUACGGCUCUUUCCCAUUGUGUGCGGCUUGUACCUGUGGAAAUGCCUGACAAAAUCUGUGGUUGUUCACCAGAGUCAUUAAGGGUCUGUCCAGGAAAGACAAUUGCUGUGGUCACAAUUAAUGGUGAAAUGGAGUAUGGCAUAUCAGGAUGUUGCUGGAUUAACACUAGGAGAGGAGGUGGAACACUGCAAUGCCUUCCUCUCUAGGAUCACAGUGACCACAAAACACAAGUCAAAAGCAGGAUGCUCAGACCUGCCGACCCUCACAUGGCCAUGUGCUGGAAUCAGCAAAAGUUUGACAAUUUGGCCAUCUUACUGAUAUCAGAAGACUCUGUCGAUCUAAGGACUGAGGAGGAGCAGAAGAUUCUUGUUGCAGAGAUGGACCAUCAUUGGAAAUCUCUUUCAGCUUGUGCUGAUGCCCUCGGAGAGCUGCCCUGCUUGUUUUCUAAUGAGACAAUGAAAAUGGCAAAACCUGGGAUGACACCUGGGAGCCUGCCCGCGAAUUCCAGCACAAGUCCCCACAUCCCAACCAGCUUUCAGCAUGACUGACUACACCUGUACAUUAUCAAGCACCCUUCAAUUGUUUAUUUUUGUCUUUGCUUGCUGUUCUUUAUUAAAGUUUUUGCACAGUA